rnacentral:lncRNA from 1 species
UCUCACUUGCCUGGAGUUUGGCGCAGACGAGCAGAGUUGCCGUGGAGAUUUCAUGCUUUGUAGUCAAACACAAAGACAUCAUUCUGCUUCUUCUAUGUGUCUUUCUCUUUCUCUCUCUCGUUUGCUCUCUUCUGUUUUGUGCUCGCUCACCCACUCAGUCACCCGCUCCAUCUCUCUCUUUCUCUCUCUCUCUCUUUGGGCGUGUGGAGGGGUAAAUUACAGAUUCUGAUCUGUGAGAAAGAAGAUGCUGAGAAGUCCCAGGAAAGAUGUGUUGCCAUAGCGAUGGGAAUGGACUUUUUGUUUGUGUUAUCGGUCUCAAUAUGGCCUCCAGCAGCCCACUUUCCUAUCAGCGUGAUCCCCUGGAGAGCUUCUGUCUGGGGACGGAUAUUGCACCGGGAGGGGGGGUGACAAUAGACAGCACUGUCCUAAUGCUGUUUGCUCAUUUGCCAACAAUGCAGCGUAUCACUGUUACAACAGUGGCAGUGUUCUGCGCCGAAAGAGAAGUGGACAAACUGAGAGAAAAUAAAAAAACAAGAAAAUGGCCUGUACGCCCACUUUUGUGAUGUGAUGUUGUUUAAUUGAGUCAGACUCAAGAGAAGUAGAAAAACCAAAAGCCAUGCGUGUGUAUUUUUUAUUUUAUUUUAAGAGUUAUUAGUCAUGACAUAAAAGUGGUUAAACUUUGAAUUUUCAUGCUAAAACCGCCUUGACGUUUUUUGCUUUUAAAAAUUUGCAAUGGCAACAUAAGACCAAGAUGACAAAAUGUAUUUUAAUAAUUAUUAGGGAUGCACAACUAUUGAUUUAUUUACAUUAUUUCAUUUAAUGUAUGUAUGUAUUUAUUUUGAAAUUUAUUUAAAUGCAUUCACAUUUGUUUAUUUAUAUAUAUUUAAGGCAAGAUACUACAGGCAAAAACAUUGUCUGUGUUUUUUUUAAUGCACUGUUCCGUUGAGAUUUUGAGCUGUUUGGGUUUUCACAACGUGUUGUUUCAGAUUAGUGGAAAUAAAACCGCCAAAAUACACUUUUAAGUGUUUAUUUUAUUGCACUUUUUUUUAUCUAUUUAAAUCUGUGGAUUUCAAUUAAAAUGCAUAUCUUUAAAGGCUGUUUUCUCAAUAUUUUCUCCUUCACUGAGCCAGAAAUCUCCACUUCAGUAGCAUGCACUUACACCAAACUUUUUAUUAAAAAUCUAGCUAUUUUCUGAAGGUUUGUUUGGAAUUUGCCUGAUUUAACACAAAAUUUCAUUACUAAAACUGGUUGAUUUUUAUUUUUUUUUAUUUUCUUGGCUGUUGAUUUAUAUUUAUAUAUUGUAUUUAUGUUGUAUUAUGCUGUAUUUAUAUAAUACACUGAAUGAUGGGAAAUAAUGUUUGCAUGAACAUGAUGGUGAUUUUCAGCGAGUGUUUUGUAUGUAUGUGUAGCAUUUGUAUGUAUGUGUUUGGGCUGGUUGUGCCCUGUCCUGGCAGGUCUGGCACAGGAAUGCCAACUGUUCAAACACAAGCCCAUGAAAACACACGCUUGUGGCCACAGGGAGUGUCCGGACCCUGCUGUCCUGCAUAGCAGAAUGAGAUACCAGCAGUUUGAGAAGAUGUGCUCUGUCAACAUGCACUUUUAACUGUUCGUCGGUGCUUUAUUGGUCUGUAGCGAUCCUUCAUAUGAGGACUCGUUGCCCCCUGUCCUUUAGUCUGUGUCGGAUAGACCGAUGGUAUGCAUGCGUGUGCGGGAUUGUAUUUGAGAGGAACCAAUCACAGAUGCUCUGACCAGCCAUUUCCUGUCGAUGGGGGCAUAUCUGUGUUUUUUUGAAUGCACUUUUCCUUCUUUGCAGUGUCCUGAAAUCAGACACCACCUGAGAAGUUCCAUCUUGCUGUAACCUGGUCUUCUUUUGUGCAUCUCAGUGUAUGAUUACAUUGUACCGGCUCUUCGUAUAGGGCCGGAUGUUAUCAGUAUGUGCUGUACCUUUGGAUAGACUAGGAGAACCUUGUAGGGUUUAAUUUGUACCUCUCUUUGUGAACACAACGAACCUUCAAGUCCUGUGUGAAUUUGGGUGUGUGAAGUCUAACGGUGGAAAUACAAUGGACAGAAAGAGUCCUGCUGCCUCCCAUAGCAAGGUGUUUCCUGCCUAAAAUGGUGCAAAGUCAGCAUGUAUUGAGAGAAAUACACAAGCACACACACACACACAUUAAAGCUGAAUUAAAAUCCUUUAGAGAAACCAUGUGUGAGGGAUUUUAUGUUUAGGGGUUGUUAUGCAUGACACAGUGUAAUUAACCCCUGUAAUCAUGCUAACAUCACCAUUAAAUCUGAUCUGGAGUAGUUUAUUUAUUUUAUGAAAUGGCAACAGCUAUGUAAGACUAAGAUGACAAUUUUUUUUAAAUAAUUAUUAGGUGUGCAAGAUAUACAAUAUUUUUUCAGUAUUUAGAUUAAUUUAAAUGCAAUUAAUUAUAUUUCAAUUUAUUAUACGAUUUGUAUUUAAAUUAUUUGUUUCUAAAUGUAUUAUUUCAAUAAAUUUAAUGUAUUAAUAAACUUAAUGUUGGAU